rnacentral:rRNA from 1 species
AUUGAACGCUGGCGGCAGGCCUAACACAUGCAAGUCGAGCGAGAGGCGGACGGGUGAGUAAUGUAUGGGGACUGCCCGAUAGAGGGGGAUGACUACUGGAAACGGUAGCUAAUACAGCAUACUAUAGGAUAACCCAGAUGGGAUUAGCUCGUUGGUGGGGUAAUGGCUCACCAAGGCGACGAUCACUAGAUGGUAUGAGAGGAUGAUCAGCCACACUGGGACUGAGACACGGCCCAGACUCCUACGGAGGCAGCAGUGGGGAAUAUUGCACAAUGGGCGAAAGCCUGAUGCAGCAAUGCCGCGUGUAUGAAGAAGGCACUAGGGUUGUAAAGUACUUUCAGUCGGGAGGCGUUACCGACAGAAGAAGCACCGGCUAACUCCGUGCCAGCAGCCGCGGUAAUUC